rnacentral:rRNA from 1 species
UACGUAGGGGGCGAGCGUUGUCCGGAUUUACUGGGCGUAAAGGGCGCGUAGGCGGUCUUGUAAGUCUUGUGUGAAAUCCCUCGGCUCAACUGAGGAACUGCACGGGAUACUGCGAGACUUGAGUUCGGGAGAGGGAAGCGGAAUUCCGGGUGUAGCGGUGAAAUGCGUAGAUAUCCGGAGGAACACCGGUGGCGAAGGCGGCUUCCUGGACCGAUCACUGACGCUGAGGCGCGAAAGCUAGGGGAGCAAACGGG